rnacentral:lncRNA from 1 species
AAUCAGAGACGAAGCCACCACGGAAAUCUUAAUAGUAUUGAUGGUAUGAGCUCAAUAAGGUUUUGUCCUUUCUCCAAGCAGUGAUUGAGUGCCGGUAUGUCCUUUUCAUGCGGAGACGCAUCGAACACAGGCCUUAUCUUCGUAGUAGCGCUAUUUUCCUUCAAUACUGGUCGAUGAGGGAGGUAAUGUCCUUCGCUAAUGUCUGCACCUACCAUUGUAGUGACUUCUUCUAUAAUUCCUUCGUUUUUCCACUCGAAAAAAACAUUUUCAUAUUGCUCAUAGAUGCCUUGUCCUUUCAAUUUUCCAAUAGUUGAGUUCAGCCUUUUUUGAGCAAGCUUAUAAUUGUUCGGGAGCCACGGAAAUCUCACUUCAUAACGUCCCUCCUUGUCAAUUUUAACGGUCUGUAAAAAUAGCUCCUUUACUGCCAUAGCCUUUUCUUCUUUUGUUCUCUUGUCGGGCGGUGCUUGAAUACCUAUUGCUUCCAACUCCCACAAGUUGCUCAUGCAAGCGUUCUUGACAAAUAAAUUCAAUGUAGUCAGAACUAUAUCAGAACGUGGGUUCCUAUUUGGUAUCCUUCCAAAAUGCGUCUCCAUGGCAACUAGUCCACAAGUCAGUUCAUAGCGUGCUCCUGUAUACAACUUUCCCGCAAUGUCAGAUCCCAACAAAAGUUCAAUGGGUCCAGGGAUUUGAUUAUCCGAGACGUCUACAUUCGUUGAUUUAAUUUCUUCAGUCCAAACACCAUAAUAUACCGGAGAAACUUCACCACAAAUCUUCAUUUGAUCCAAUGCCUCGAAAGUGAAUAAAUCGUCUCCUUGACAGAUAUUGACAUCAUAACAACUAUGAGUAUUUGCUACCUCCUGUCCGCCAAACAGGCAGUCGAUAAUUUCCUCUGACCGUUUAGGUAUAUAUCCUAGUUGCCUAGCAGUGUUCUUCAGAACAUAGGAUCUUUGCGAGACACUCUUGCAACCAUUUACUCCCCUUAAGGUUACCCUUAACGUUUGCAAAAAUACUGGUGUACUCGUCUGGUUAGCUAACGUUUGGUUUUUGACGGGAAUAGCUUUCUCGUUAGUACUAUUAAGAGAGUUAUUGACAUUGAAAACUGCAUGUGAUCGGCUGCAAAUAGCACACCUCAAACAGCCUCUACACUUUUUGAUGUCCCGACUUUAAACAACGGAAACAGGCUCCUUUUCCAGAAAGGACUUCUUUCUUUUGAUUAUAUGUCAUUUUCUGCGCCUUAAAACGCGACUCGCUUUUAUGGGUCCCUGCACCAAAAAUACAUGGCUCAACCUCGCAAUUUAUUAACCCUGUAGCUGUUGGAACUGCGUCAUUUUCCUUGAGCAUCCCUUUUCUUCUAACACCGCUUUCCUUUACAGCUGAUUUUUCACCUGAAAGACCAAAACCCUCUGCCGCUAGAUUUAUUCUUUGUUCGUUCUCUACCUAAUUUCCAGAGAAGCGAUGGCCGUUUCGUCUUCCGAGGUAACAGAGUAGUUGAAAUUGUUAGAACGUUGCCAAACUCUAAGUAAUUCAUUUGGUAAGCAAGACUCAAUUAAAGGAUAAAGCAUUGCUGAGCACUUGUCAGAAGUAAUGCCAAGUGUUUCAAGUGCUCGCAGUUGAGUUAAGAUCGAGUAUCAUAAAGAGUGGCAAUGUCCAACCCUUUAUUUGAAGUUGAAUUUGUUAAAAUUAGUUUCAGCAGCUCCCUUGCAUAAACUUCGAUCUGUAGAUCCUCCCUACCGAAUCUACUAAGCAUACUGUCUACGAUUUUCUUAUAAUUCUCACUCAUGGCCGGGUAGCUCUCAACCAACUGUCUAGCUCUGCUUCCGGAAACUGUGGCCUGAAUAAGAUAUUCUAUUUUGUCAUGCUCAUCUAUAGAAUCAUCUUCAUGUAUUUUUCGGAAUUGGGCCCAAAACGAAAGCCAGCCUUUUAUACUACCAUCAUAAUGUUUGAAUUCUAUUCUAGGUAAUUUAAAAGAUCGCCUACCUGUUAUAUGAUUCGUUGUAUUGCGGGACCCAUCACUAACACCUGAGGCUGAAUCUUGUUGCUCCAGCGAUUUCACUAAUUUUUCAUAUUUCAACCUCAAGCCAGUAAACCUUUUUGCAUACAAAUCACUAGUCUCGAUCUCACUUUCAAGCUCAGCUUCAGUCGCAUUUGUCAAUAAAAGCUCGUAUAUUUCACUAUUCAAAUGUAAUGCAACUCAUCAAAUUUUGAUUUAAUAAGCUCCCUUGUAAUAUCCACCGAUUCUGAGUCCAACGGUACGGCACUCAAUCCGAGAGUAAGCUCAUUAGCCGCCUUUGUAAACGAACUCCGAAUCACACUACGGCUCUUUUUCUUUUUCUCGAGAUCAGACAUUUUAAAUGCGAUUUUUAAAAAUCAGAAACCGACGACACAGACCUGUUCCUAACAGUCAGACUGUCAACCAAACUUACUAUUUGUCAGUUUUGGCAACACUGCGAGAACAAGUUCGUAAGAAACGGCCCGAGUAGUGGAAAAACAACUCGUGGAUUUUGCACCAGGACAACGCACCUGCCCAUAACGCGCAAUCUGUGAAGCAGUAUUUGGCCGGGACCCGAUUUGAGUCGAUGGAAGCCGUAAAGCAAAAAACGGCAGAGCUCCUAAAGGCCCUCACCAAAGAAGACUUCCAGCACUGCUUCGAUCAAUGGAAAAAACGUAUGGAAAGAUGUGUGGCGAGGGGAGGGGAGCAUUCGAAUGUAUAAUAAUUUUUAUAAUAAAACCCUUUUUCGUAA